AUUGAACGCUGGCGGCAGGCCUAACACAUGCAAGUCGAACGAGUGGCGGACGGGUGAGUAAUGUCUGGGAAACUGCCCGAUGGAGGGGGAUAACUACUGGAAACGGUAGCUAAUACCGCAUACCAUCGGAUGUGCCCAGAUGGGAUUAGCUAGUAGGUGGGGUAAAGGCUCACCAAGGCGACGAUGCAUAGCUGGUCUGAGAGGAUGACCGGCCACACUGGGACUGAGACACGGUCCAGACUCCAACGGGAGGCAGCAGUGGGGAAUAUUGGACAAUGGGCGAAAGGCUGAUGCAGCCAUGCCGCGUGUGUGAAGAAGGUUUUCGGGUUGUAAAACUCUUUCGUUAAGGAAGCGGUACCCGAAGAAGAAGCACCGGCUAACUCCGUGCCAGCAGCCGCGGUAAUAC
rnacentral:rRNA from 1 species